AGAGUUUGAUUAUGGCUCAGGAUGAACGCUAGCUACAGGCUUAACACAUGCAAGUCGAGGGGCAGCAUGAACUUAGCUUGCUAAGUUUGAUGGCGACCGGCGCACGGGUGAGUAACGCGUAUCCAACCUUCCCCUUAGUAGGGCAUAGCCCGGUGAAAAUCGGAUUAAUACCCUAUGUUUUCCAAUGAGGACAUCUGAGCUGGAACAAAGAUUCAUCGCUAAGGGAUGGGGAUGCGUCCGAUUAGGUUGUUGGCGGGGUAACGGCCCACCAAGCCUUCGAUCGGUAGGGUUCUGAGAGGAAGGUCCCCCACACUGGUACUGAGACACGGACCAGACUCCUACGGGAGGCAGCAGUGAGGAAUAUUGGUCAAUGGGCGAGAGCCUGAACCAGCCAAGUAAGCGUGCAGGACGACGGCCCUACGGGUUGUAAACUGCUUUUAUGCGGGGAUAAAGUGAGGGACGUGUCCCUUUUGUAGGUACCGCAUGAAUAAGGACCGGCUAAUCCCGUGCCAGCAGCUGC
rnacentral:rRNA from 1 species